GGAAAAGAGGCUCGUAUGUUUUCAUCAGCCCUUCUGGUUGAACAGUUACGGUUGUGGAAGGUCUGUGUGCAACAUGGAUACUGUGUGUCGUUCUUUGAUGAUUUAUUUCCUGCCUUAUGCAUUUGGUUGAAUGUGCCUGCAUUUAGGAAGCUGAUUGAAAACAGUGUCCUCAGCGAAUAUACUGCCAUUGCCAAGGAAGCAUACCUUGUACUGGGUGCUUUAACUAGAAGACUGCCAACUUUUUAUUCCCACAUGCAACAUUUGGACAGGGGUACUACAAUAGAAGCAGAGAGCUGGUGUUGGGCCCAGGUUGGUCCUAUGAUUGAUUCCGCCCUAGAGUCUAUUAGGAUAAAGGAGAUACCACUCCUAUCUCAUCUUUUUGAGGGGGAAAAUGAUGAGAAAUUGAAUGGUGAUAUGCAAGAUUCAGCAGUUCCUCCUUUGCUGUGGUUGAUAUCUUCAAUUAUGGACAUGCUUUCUGCAGUGCUUGAAGCUGUAAUCCCAGAAGAUAAUGC
rnacentral:misc_RNA from 1 species